ACAGCAGCCGCCGCGGUAAUACGGAGGGUGCAAGCGUUAAUCGGAAUUACUGGGCGUAAAGCGCACGCAGGCGGUCUGACAAGUCAGAUGUGAAAUCCCCGGGCUUAACCUGGGAACUGCAUUUGAAACUGUCAGGCUGGAGUCUUGUAGAGGGGGGUGGAAUUCCAGGUGUAGCGGUGAAAUGCGUAGAGAUCUGGAGGAAUACCGGUGGCGAAGGCGGCCCCCUGGACAAAGACUGACGCUCAGGUGCGAAAGCGUGGGGAGCAAACAGGAUUAGAUACCCGAGUAGUCCCUGUCUCUUAUAC
rnacentral:rRNA from 1 species